rnacentral:rRNA from 1 species
AUGAACGCUAGCUACAGGCUUAACACAUGCAAGUCGAGGGGCAGCAUGGUCUUAGCUUGCUAAGGCCGAUGGCGACCGGCGCACGGGUGAGUAACACGUAUCCAACCUGCCGUCUACUCUUGGACAGCCUUCUGAAAGGAAGAUUAAUACAAGAUGGCAUCAUGAGUCCGCAUGUUCACAUGAUUAAAGGUAUUCCGGUAGACGAUGGGGAUGCGUUCCAUUAGAUAGUAGGCGGGGUAACGGCCCACCUAGUCUUCGAUGGAUAGGGGUUCUGAGAGGAAGGUCCCCCACAUUGGAACUGAGACACGGUCCAAACUCCUACGGGAGGCAGCAGUGAGGAAUAUUGGUCAAUGGGCGAGAGCCUGAACCAGCCAAGUAGCGUGAAGGAUGACUGCCCUAUGGGUUGUAAACUUCUUUUAUAAAGGAAUAAAGUCGGGUAUGGAUACCCGUUUGCAUGUACUUUAUGAAUAAGGAUCGGCUAACUCCGUGCCAGCAGCCGCGGUAAUACGGAGGAUCCGAGCGUUAUCCGGAUUUAUUGGGUUUAAAGGGAGCGUAGAUGGAUGUUUAAGUCAGUUGUGAAAGUUUGCGGCUCAACCGUAAAAUUGCAGUUGAUACUGGAUAUCUUGAGUGCAGUUGAGGCAGGCGGAAUUCGUGGUGUAGCGGUGAAAUGCUUAGAUAUCACGAAGAACUCCGAUUGCGAAGGCAGCCUGCUAAGCUGCAACUGACAUUGAGGCUCGAAAGUGUGGGUAUCAAACAGGAUUAGAUACCCUGGUAGUCCACACGGUAAACGAUGAAUACUCGCUGUUUGCGAUAUACGGCAAGCGGCCAAGCGAAAGCGUUAAGUAUUCCACCUGGGGAGUACGCCGGCAACGGUGAAACUCAAAGGAAUUGACGGGGGCCCGCACAAGCGGAGGAACAUGUGGUUUAAUUCGAUGAUACGCGAGGAACCUUACCCGGGCUUAAAUUGCAGAUGAAUUACGGUGAAAGCCGUAAGCCGCAAGGCAUCUGUGAAGGUGCUGCAUGGUUGUCGUCAGCUCGUGCCGUGAGGUGUCGGCUUAAGUGCCAAACGAGCGCAACCCUUGUUGUCAGUUACUAACAGGUUCCGCUGAGGACUCUGACAAGACUGCCAUCGUAAGAUGUGAGGAAGGUGGGGAUGACGUCAAAUCAGCACGGCCCUUACGUCCGGGGCUACACACGUGUUACAAUGGGGGGGUACAGAGGGCCGCUACCACGCGAGUGGAUGCCAAUCCCCAAAACCUCUCUCAGUUCGGACUGGAGUCUGCAACCCGACUCCACGAAGCUGGAUUCGCUAGUAAUCGCGCAUCAGCCACGGCGCGGUGAAUACGUUCCCGGGCCUUGUACACACCGCCCGUCAAGCCAUGGGAGCCGGGGGUACCUGAAGUGCGUAACCGCGAGGAGCGCCCUAGGGUAAAACUGGUGACUGGGGCU